rnacentral:rRNA from 1 species
UCACGCAUCGCGUCUCCCCCAAAUCCACCUUGGUGGAUGGGAAGGAUGAUGGUUUYCCGUGGCUCACCGGCCACGGUUGGCCUAAAAUAGGAGCCCUCGGCAUCGGGUUGCCGCGGCGAUAGGUGGUGAACAAGGCCUCGGCCAAGCAAGCAACCCGUCGUGCAACGCCGUGUCAAUGUGAGCUCGAAGGACCCUUUAACGUUGCCUUAACGCAACCAAACCGUUGCGAC